rnacentral:lncRNA from 1 species
AUGUUAAGUAACUGUGUGACUGCCAACAUGUUACAGGAACUGGAAGAGAAGUUGCAGUUCUUCACUAGUUAUGAGACUGGUUUCCCUCAGGGACUUGUGAAUAUGCUGACCUGUAAUGGGAGAGAAUUCACUGAGGGGACUGAUUAUAAUAAAUGGUGCCAGAAGUCACUAGCAUGCAAAAGUAUGAGAUCCAGGAGAAGCCRGGCCUUGGAGGAAGCUAAGAAUGAUGUUCCCGGGUCCAAAUGUAUGCAGCAUGAACUCCUGGCCAUCAGAAAAGACCAAUACAAGAGGAGCUUUGCUCUGUCAGCCUGCACUGCAGAGGAAAAAAGAAAUGCUGAGGCAGCAUCAAACRCGCCUCUAGGAAAUAAAGCUCCUGUUGUGCAAAACCAUGCCAGCCAGUCACCUGUCACAAUCAGCUUCUCACUGUCAUCCAGAAUUUGUGAGGAAAGAGGUUGGAUUUGCCAGCCUUCUGACUCAAGUUCUGAAGAUCCUCAGAAGCUGCCUUAUGUGUGGGCCCUGAAGAGACUACAACAAAUUCAAAAACAAAUAAAAGAGCAAGCAUCCAAGCAGAAGGAAGCAGGGUUUGAUAAACCAAUUAUUUUCCGGCAUUAUGGUGAUCACAGAGAAGAAACUUUGCCGAAGACAUGGAAGGGUCAGACUGGCAUGACUGUCACACCAGAGCUGCUGUAUGGCAAACCUCAGACCCCUGUGGCCAAGAAAACAGACUCAGCACAGAGAAAACUGCAUUAUGAGCUGAAUGAUGGCUCAUCUUUGAUUUACUAUCCUUCUGAAUAUCUUGCUGUUUGCCAAAGCUACUGCAAUCUCCCAGGUGGGGGCUUGUGUACCAACAUAUUUAGCCCUUCUCUGGAUCACUCUAUAGUUGGAACUUUCACCCCUUUUGGACAUGGCAGUAUCUGUCUUCCUAGCAGCAACACCGUAACACUGAUGUUUAAUCAGGAAGGAGGUCUGGUGACUAACAAAGAUGAAGAAAUGGCCAGAGAGUGGAAAUGGCCUCGGGACGGCAAGCUUGCCAAGCCAGUUAUAAUACAGGUUAAUGAAUACAUCACAGUGAGGAUUGCAGGGCGCUUUGCAAUUGGCUUGAUCUACAAGUGGCAACAAGAAAGUGUGUGCUUGUCUUUGUCACCACUGCGGGGUGCGGCUCUUCC